AAUGGAUUUCCUAAACAAGAAAUCAUUCUUCGUUCUCCUGGCAUCACUCUUUUCAUUUGCUCUUCCUAUGCAACUAACCUGCCUCAAGCAAAUUUCAGGUCCUCAAAGAUGCCUACUUCAGCUGCUCACUUUGUCAACUCGUCAAAAAGGAAGAUGGCCACUUUAGGCAAGAUUGUCAAAAAUAGCUUUUACUUUUUGAAAGUAGCUUUUACUUUUGUCUUUAGCCAAGAUUGUCAAAAGUAGUUUUUACUUUUGUUUGCCAUUCUACGGACUUCAAAUGAAGAUCUUCAAAUCCGCAGCAGCCGGUUCCCGAUAAAAGUAGAUCAAUCAUUGUUGUUGUUCAAAGACACGUGUUGGUUUCACCUUUUCAAGAUGCCUAUAUAAGAAUUCUAAGGUUGAAGAAUCAAGACAUCGGAAAAUUAGCCAACAAUGUUAUGUCUAGAGAAAGAAAGCCUUCCCUUGUUUUCUCAACCUGAAGAUGUUCAAAAUCUUUAGAUUUUAAUUUUGUCAUAGCUCCAAGAGUUUGUUCAAAUUGUAGCAAAGAAGUUUGUAUCAAUACCAAACAUGGUACUUUUUGA